GACGUGUUGGCCGUGUGGUUAAGGCGAUGGACUGCUAGUCCAUUGUGCACUGCAUGAGUCCUCGUCG
rnacentral:tRNA from 1 species